UACGUAGGGUGCAAGCGUUGUCCGGAAUUAUUGGGCGUAAAGAGCUCGUAGGCGGUUUGUCGCGUCUGCUGUGAAAACUCGGGGCUUAACUCCGGGCCUGCAGUGGGUACGGGCAGACUAGAGUGCGGUAGGGGAGACUGGAAUUCCUGGUGUAGCGGUGAAAUGCGCAGAUAUCAGGAGGAACACCGGUGGCGAAGGCGCUGCUCUGGGCCGAAACUGACGCUGAGGAGCGAAAGCGUGGGUAGCAAACAGG
rnacentral:rRNA from 1 species